rnacentral:rRNA from 1 species
GACGAACGCUGGCGGCGUGCUUAACACAUGCAAGUCGAACGGAAAGGCCCUGCUUGCAGGGUGCUCGAGUGGCGAACGGGUGAGUAACACGUGGGUGAUCUGCCCCUUACUUUGGGAUAAGCCUGGGAAACUGGGUCUAAUACUGGAUAGGACCAUGCUGUAGGUGGUGUGGUGGAAAGAUUAGUUUCGGUAAGGGAUGAGCUCGCGGCCUAUCAGCUUGUUGGUGGGGUAAUGGCCUACCAAGGCGUCGACGGGUAGCCGGCCUGAGAGGGUGGACGGCCACAUUGGGACUGAGAUACGGCCCAGACUCCUACGGGAGGCAGCAGUGGGGAAUAUUGCACAAUGGGCGCAAGCCUGAUGCAGCGACGCCGCGGGGGGGAUGACGGCCUUCGGGUUAUAAACUCCUUUCAGCCAUGACGAAGCCCUUGUGGUGACGGUAGUGGUAGAAGAAGCACCGGCUAACUACGUG